UACGUAGGGUGCAAGCGUUAAUCGGAAUUACUAGGCGUAAAGCGUGCGCAGGCGGUUAUGUAAGUCCGAUGUGAAAUCCCCGGGCUUAACCUGGGAAUGGCAUUGGUGACUGCACGGCUAGAGUGUGUCAGAGGGGGGUAGAAUUCCACGUGUAGCAGUGAAAUGCGUAGAGAUGUGGAGGAAUACCGAUGGCGAAGGCAGCCCCCUGGGAUAACACUGACGCUCAUGCACGAAAGCGUGGGGAGCAAACAGG
rnacentral:rRNA from 1 species